rnacentral:lncRNA from 1 species
AAGCCUACCUCGGGACACCUUGACUCCAAGCCCUAUCUCCAACGUACUGCAGGACCUCUCAGGCAUCUCUGCUGAGGAUACCCAUAUUGGCAACUACUGGCUCAUCACGACCAUCAACCAGGGUAACUUGGUCACCAUGCAGUUGGCCUGACACACCCUAACUAGGAAAGAGGUAGCUGUGCAGAUCAUUGAUAAGACAAAAUGGAACUCCUUCAGACUCCAGAGACUGUACAAG